AUUCAUCCCAUAAGCCCAUGCACACUCGUCAGGGUUCAAACUUUUUGCUAUGAGAGGAUGAGAAAAAUUAAAGUAGUUUCUGAAUCGCUUUGACAUCACCCAUUCAUCUUCUCCUUUACAGGUCUGAACAGCUCCAUUCACCUUUCCGUUAAGGUCAAUAUCCCACAAUGGAGACAAGUCACGCUGAAUCACCACAUCGUCAUCCAAGAAAACCACUUUAUGAAGGUUUGGGAAGAGCUCUGGCAA
rnacentral:misc_RNA from 1 species